rnacentral:rRNA from 1 species
UACGUAGGUGGCGAGCGUUAUCCGGAAUGAUUGGGCGUAAAGGGUGCGCAGGCGGUCUGUUAAGUCAGCGGUCAAAGCCCGGGGCUCAACCCCGGCCCGCCGUUGAAACUGGGGGGCUUGAGUAUGUUUGAGGCAGGCGGAAUGCGUGGUGUAGCGGUGAAAUGCAUAGAUAUCACGCAGAACCCCGAUUGCGAAGGCAGCAUACCGGCGCCCGACUGACGCUGAAGCACGAAAGCGUGGGUAUCGAACAGG